rnacentral:lncRNA from 1 species
CGGUAGGAGCCCCACAGCGUCAGGGCGGGGAGGGCGCUUGGAGAUCCCCCGGGUCGGCCCCCUCCGCACCCCGAUCGACUGAGGCCCGGAGAGUUCAGGAACCGGCUCGGGAGACCUCAGCGCCCGAACUCGGAGUUUUCGGACUUUUCAGGCCUCUGCCAAGGGCUUGGACUCGCAGGUGAAAGGACGGGCUCAUCUCACUUUUUUGUCCUGAGAGGAUGGUGGAAAGCUGCACUUGAAGUCCAACUCUGUCCUGGGGGAAUAAUUAUGUUCCCUGUCUUGGGAGCCUUUCUUCAGGGAGCUUGAUGGUUCCAACCCACCCAGGAGCCUGGGACAUCUGUGCCCCUGGGCAAUCCCCUGCAGUUUCCUGAUUCCAAGAUGAGGGGGUAGAAUCCGAAGAUCUCCAAGGCCUUGAUGAGUGCUACCAGUCUGCAAAUUCCCAAGCCAAGUUCUUCAAUGAAUCAAAUUUCCUCCAGUAGCCAUUUCUACCAAAGGAGCAACUGUUUUUCCUUCCCACUGACAUGGCUAUGUAUUCGAACUGGAUAUAGGUGAGAGGCAUUUUUGUCCUAGCUUCUCGGGCCCCUCCAAGGAGCUCCAAGAGGCUUAAGGAUCCCAGCCAUGUUGGGAUAAAAAUACCCAAUCAAUCAAUAAACAUUUUAUUUAAAAAUGAUUUAUUUAAAAAAUCACACAAUUUGAGAGCAAAUACAGAAGAUAUGAAUUAGCAAAACGAACAAAAUUAAAAUCUCAUACAAUCGCAGGACACUGGGACCUGAAGUCUUGGAGAGGAUGUAAUCACUAAGUCAUCCCAAGGAAGAGUGGGAUGCCUACAAGAGAGGGAUGCCUACAAGAGAGGGAUGCCUAAAUUGGUUACCCCUAAGCCCACCGACUUUUAAGGCAUGUGUAAGUGAGUGGGAACCUGCAAAAAGACUGGAAGGAGCAGCCAGAGAGGUAGGAAGAAAACCAGGAGUGCCUGUUGUCACGGAAGCUGAGGGCAAGGAGGACAGUGGUUGGGAGAAUCUGAUGCAGCAGCUCCAAGGACCAUGGCCCCAGGAACUAGGCACAAGUGACAGGAGACACUUGCUAUGUCUAAACCCAGUGCACCCUCAGCCCGGCCUCGCCUUUUCAAGGACGGCUAGCACAGGCCAUCAUCCUGGCCCACGAUGAAGGUGGCCAAGCGGGAUGGGAGCGCGGGUCUCCCCAUCCCCAGCGGUGACGGGCGGCGGCUCUUUCCUGAAGAAUGGGGCGGCGUCCGCAACGGGAACCGCUGGAGGCGCUCCCCGGGACCCUGGCCCGCCCUCGCCCCCGCGCAUGCCUGGCCGCUGA